AGUGAACGCUGGCGGUAGGCCUAACACAUGCAAGUCGAACGGCAGCACAGUAAGAGCUUGCUCUUACAGGUGGCGAGUGGCGGACGGGUGAGGAAUACAUCGGAAUCUACUUUUUCGUGGGGGAUAACGUAGGGAAACUUACGCUAAUACCGCAUACGACCUACGGGUGAAAGCAGGGGAUCUUCGGACCUUGCGCGAUUGAAUGAGCCGAUGUCGGAUUAGCUAGUUGGCGGGGUAAAGGCCCACCAAGGCGACGAUCCGUAGCUGGUCUGAGAGGAUGAUCAGCCACACUGGAACUGAGACACGGUCCAGACUCCUACGGGAGGCAGCAGUGUGGAAUAUUGGACAGUGGGCGCAAGCCUGAUCCAGCCAUACCGCGUGGGUGAAGAAGGCCUUCGGGUUGUAAAGCCCUUUUGUUGGGAAAGAAAAGCAGCAGGUUAAUACCCCGCUGUUCUGACGGUACCCAAAGAAUAAGCACCAGCUAACUUCGUG
rnacentral:rRNA from 1 species